UGGGGGAUAUUGCUCAAUGGAGGAAACUCUGAAGCAGCAACGCCGCGUGAAGGAAGAAGGUCUUCGGAUUGUAAACUUUUGUCUUGUGGGAAGAUAAUGACGGUACCACAGGAGGAAGCCACGGCUAACUACGUGCCAGCAGCCGCGGUAAUACGUAGGUGGCAAGCGUUGUCCGGAUUUACUGGGUGUAAAGGGUGCGCAGGCGGAUAAACAAGUCAGGUGUGAAAUUUAUGGGCUCAACCCAUAAACUGCACUUGAAACUGUUUAUCUUGAGUACAGGAGAGGUAAGCGGAAUUCCCGGUGUAGCGGUGAAAUGCGUAGAGAUCGGGAGGAACACCAGUGGCGAAGGCGGCUUACUGGACUGUAACUGACGCUGAGGCACGAAAGUGUGGGGAGCAAACAGG
rnacentral:rRNA from 1 species